AUAAUGCUUCGUUGUGAAUGAUAUGCAGUAAAAAAUCAUCUACAUGCAAUGCCAGAGCCUGGCCUGUUGGUACAGUGCAUGGCUGACCUCAAAACCCGACAGAGCUGUUUCCUGUGCAGGAAAUCUUGUUAGGGGCAUUCUCCAGCUGUACUGGUAUCACCAUAAGCUAACAUUGGUACCUGACUGAUGUGGGGUCCACAUGAUGUAUGAAUGACUUCCAACCCGUCCAUCAGAUGUCCCCAAAAUUUACCCCUGACGCCCAAAAAUGAGACCAUGAAUCAGGUCGGCUAUGCACAGGAAACAAGUUUCUAGGAGAUGCCACACUCGAUUUUCGGUGGGGCCCUCUUGAGUUGCAAAAAUGCCUGAUAUUUGGCCUGACACUUCAUCCAGGCCACAUGAAGUGUCUGAAUGGCCUAGAUUUCAUGUAAACAAUAUGAAGGUUACACCAUGCAAAUCAAUGUUGUGCGCUCCUCUCAAAUUGUUCCCCUUGUUGUUGCCCAUUUGAGUUUUGGAUUGGCCUGAUUUUUGGUCCCUAGGGGAAAAUUGAGGUCAUCUUAUGGACAGGUUAGAUGUGGUUCACACAUCAACCCAGUACCAUUGAAACGUGGCCCAUCUUAUUAAUCAUUGAAAGAUGAAAACUGAAUUGGCGUCACUUUGGCAAUUAGAGGAAAUGCUUGUGGCAAUUUCUACUGAAAAUUAAAGAAUGCUUUUUAUUUUUAUUUUUUCAGGGAACAGCGGAUGAUGUUGUAAGUUGGUCCCAUGGCAAGAAGCUUUGGGAGCUUUGUAAAGAGAAGUAUGAACCCCUAUGGAUUAAAGGAGGAAAACACUGUGAUUUGGAAAAUCAUUCAGAAUACAUUAAGCAUCUGAAAAAGUUCAUCUCGGCCGUUGAAAAAUUAUCCACCCCUAGAAAUGAAUCUAAUCAGAUCACCGAUCUUUCAGAGACUCCUCGCACCAGUUCCGACCGUUGGGAGCUCUCAAGGAAGAAAACUGACAGUAGAGACUGGUCUAAGUCAAGCACAGAUUGUAGAGAGAAGUCCCGCAGCAGCACUGAUAGAAGAGAGAAAUCAAGAAAGAGUGCGGACCUUUCCGAGAAGGGUAGGAACAGCACGGACCAGCCUGAGAAAGGGCGGAAAAGCUUUGGAGAAGUGAUGAAAUCAGUGUGCAAUAUUGAUUGUUUCAAAGAUCCAGAGUCCCAGGAAAAUAAGAACGACGACUAGAGCCAAUUUAUCCAGCGAUCAAUCAUCAAUGGGUCGACAUGUGUUCUGUAUCUCAUUUUUUCUUCAUAAUAAUAAUAGGCCUAUUAUAUGGUUGCAUUCUAUUUCAUCAUCAAUAAAUUUUAUUUUAUUUUAUUUUA